rnacentral:rRNA from 1 species
GACGAACGCUGGCGGCGUGCUUAACACAUGCAAGUCGAACGAGGCCCAUCCAGUAGCAAUACUGGGGAAGGCCUAGUGGCGAACGGGUGAGUAACACGUGAGAAACCUGCCCUGGUCUCCGGGAUAACAGUCGGAAACAACUGCUAAUACCGGAUGCCGUCGGACCUCGCAUGGGGCGCUGACGAAAGGGUCCACUGGACCAGGAGGGUCUCGCGACCUAUCAGCUUGUUGGUGGGGUAACGGCCUACCAAGGCAUCGACGGGUAGCUGGUCUGAGAGGAUGAUCAGCCACACUGGGACUGAGACACGGCCCAGACUCCUACGGGAGGCAGCAGUGGGGAAUCUUGCGCAAUGGGCGAAAGCCUGACGCAGCAACGCCGCGUGCNGGAUGAAGGCCUUCGGGUUGUAAACCGCUUUCAGAAGGAACGAAACUGACGGUACUUUCAGAAGAAGGUGCGGCCAACUACGUGCCAGCAGCCGCGGUGACACGUAGGCACCAAGCGUUGUCCGGAUUUAUUGGGCGUAAAGAGCUCGUAGGCGGUNCGAUAAGUCGGGUGUGAAAUCUUUGGGCUUAACCCAAAGCGUGCAUUCGAUACUGUCGUGACUAGAGUACGGUAGGGGAGUGGGGAAUUCCUAGUGUAGCGGUGAAAUGCGCAGAUAUUAGGAGGAACACCGGUGGCGAAGGCGCCACUCUGGGCCGAAACUGACGCUGAGGAGCGAAAGCGUGGGUAGCAAACAGGAUUAGAUACCCUGGUAGUCCACGCCGUAAACGUUGGGCACUAGGUGUGGGUUCCAACCAACGGAAUCCGCGCCGUCGCUAACGCAUUAAGUGCCCCGCCUGGGGAGUACNGGNCGCAAGNNUAAAACUC